UGACCGCUGGCGGCAUGCCUUCCACAUGCAAGUCGAACGGUAACGCGGGGCAACCUGGCGACGAGUGGCGAACGGGUGAGUAAUGCAUCGGAACGUGCCCAGAAGUGGGGGAUAGCCCGGCGAAAGCCGGAUUAAUACCGCAUGAGACCUGAGGGUGAAAGCGGGGGAUCGCAAGACCUCGCGCUUUUGGAGCGGCCGAUGUCAGAUUAGCUAGUUGGUGGGGUAAAGGCCUACCAAGGCGACGAUCUGUAGCUGGUCUGAGAGGACGACCAGCCACACUGGGACUGAGACACGGCCCAGACUCCUACGGGAGGCAGCAGUGGGGAAUUUUGGACAAUGGGCGCAAGCCUGAUCCAGCCAUGCCGCGUGCGGGAAGAAGGCCUUCGGGUUGUAAACCGCUUUUGUCAGGGAAGAAACGCUCUGGGCUAAUACCCUGGGGUAAUGACGGUACCUGAAGAAUAAGCACCGGCUAACUACGUG
rnacentral:rRNA from 1 species